rnacentral:rRNA from 1 species
GACGAACGCUGGCGGCGUGCUUAACACAUGCAAGUCGAACGGAAAGGCCCUGCUUGCAGGGUCCUCGAGUGGCGAACGGGUGAGUAACACGUGGGUGAUCUGCCCUGCACUUCGGGAUAAGCCUGGGAAACUGGGUCUAAUACCGGAUAGGAGCCAUUUUUAGUGUGAUGGUUGGAAAGUUUUUUCGGUGUUGGAUGAGCUCGCGGCCUAUCAGCUUGUUGGUGGGGUAAUGGCCUACCAAGGCGGCGACGGGUAGCCGGCCUGAGAGGGUGGACGGCCACAUUGGGACUGAGAUACGGCCCAGACGCCUACGGGAGGCAGCAGUGGGGAAGAUUGCACAAGGGGCGCAAGCCGGAUGCAGCGAGGCCGCGUGGGGGAUGACGGCCUUCGGGUUGUAAACUCCUUUCGCUAGGGACGAAGCUUUUUGUGACGGUACCUAGAUAAGAAGCACCGGCUAACUACGUG